ACAUCACUCAACUCCAUGGCGUUGGGAAAUGCCUAUGCAAUAUUUGUUAGAGGGUAGUAGAGGCGCAUGAUACCCGCAGAUCAUAUGCUAGACAGGUACCAGAAAAUUCGCAGACGGUGUUGAGUUCGUGAAAAGCCCCCUAAACUGAUCAGCAAACCAGAAAAGCUGCAGUUAUAAAAGUAAAGCCAAAAAUUUAAAUCAAAAUAUCACAACCAAGUCAUUCAAGAGCUAAAAAUGAUGCAAGUAUUUGGUAUUUGUUUAGGGCCUCUUUAGCAUGAACCAAUAGCAAAUUAGAGUAAGAACAGUUAUAAGGCAUGAAUGCAAUUGCUGCAACAGUUUCACCAGAAAGGUUUGAACCCGGUUGCUCAGUAUUCAUUUUAUAAUCGGUUCGUGGCAUUGUAAUGUCUUAAGUGCGCAGCGCGCUCCCAACAGAAGAAAAUUAAUAGUUAUGUGAAUAUGACCUUUGUGUAUCAAG
rnacentral:lncRNA from 1 species